rnacentral:pre_miRNA from 1 species
AAUAAGUGCAGUCAUGGAUAUCUAUGUCCAAUAUUUGACCGUCCGUCUUAUUUAAAAAAUUUAUAUAAAAUUAAAAAAAAUAGUCACACAUAAAGUACUAUUCAUGUUUUAUCAUCCAAUAACAAUAAAAAUACUAAUCAUAAAAAAUUCAAAUAAGACGAAUGGUCAAAUAUUAGACAUAAAUAGUGCAAAACAACACUUAUU